GUUAAUCGGAGCCGUUUCACAGCCUCUUUGAACGCUUUUGUCUCGAGUUUUGUUUUCAGUUCAGGUCUCACCACUGCUCUCACAUGGUUUCCUGGCUGUCAGAGUAAUCUGAGCUCCGCAAGAAGGAGGCUCACAGCUUGAGGGUGAGCAGGUGAGGGGAACCGCAGGGCAGCCCCAUCAGCGCUCAGUGUGCUGGUGGGAAGGGGCUUCGUCCCAGCCUGGGAACUGGGGGCCUGAAAGGCUCCGAGUCCUGGAAGUCAGGUUUAAUCAUUAGCUAAGUGGCUGGGCUGCAUCUCGUUUGUGAUGAACGAGGGGAGGAAGGAUGGGAGGCUGUGGUUAGCAGAAGAGGAUGUGAAUUUCCUAUUUAAGGCCGCAGCUGGGACUGGGCUCUGUGCUGCUGCAAGGUGAGGGCUCAGCCAGGUGUGUGCCUGUAGGCUGGGCUCCUAGCUGGUGGACGAGGCUUCAGCCACUGCCUGCUGUUGUGCUCCGGGCAGGACAGGCUGUUCCACUCCCAGAAAUAGAGCUUGCAGGACUUCAAGUACACGUUUGUGGCCAAAGGAUAACAAAGGAGAAAGAAAAUCCAUUCUCCCUCCAACGUGCAGCUUGAACCCCGAGCACGGCUGUGCCAUGCCUCCUCCACCCCUCCAUGCAGGUUACUUACGCGUCCCAAACCAGGAGCAAGAAGCACGGUGCAAAGAUGGGCUGGGCCACGCUGGUCCAUGGUUGGAUGAGAUGAUCCUGGAGGACUUUUCCAGCCUGAACAACUCUAUGAUUCUGUGUUCUGUCCUUCACUGCGAUGCCUUCAGGCACUCUCCCCCCUCACUCUCUCUCCCCUCUGGUUCCCCUCUCAGACGUUUCUUAACCGGACACUUGGGCCUGGCUCAACGCAUCUUGAACCAUCUCGGCGAUGACUGCGGAUAAUUUGUCACAUCAGAACUGACAAUCCAUUUGUAAAUAUUUAUCCUCUGCUGUGGCACUGAUGACUGAUGGAUGGGCUGAGCGUGCAGCGCUCUCCCUGAUCCUGUGGCCCCGUGAGGCACCACCAGAAAGCCCAAGUGUUGUCAUCCUGCCCUGAUAGAAUCCCUCGGUGGAAGUCUCCUCCCCAAGUCAACACAGAAGAGAGGAGAUGCCUCAGCUGAGCAUCGUGCCCUGCCCUGUCCAUAGGAUGCCUGCAGCAGCACACACUCCCUCUGUAAAAACUUGCUUUGUCAGGCCAUACUUUUGCAAUGUGUAACUUGACAGAAAUCCUAUUCUAAUUAGCACCUGCUAAUCACUGUCUGUGAUGCUAUUUAGCUAAUUGCACCUUGGGCAGUAAAAAACAAGGCAAAUCCAAACCUGGUCCAUAAUUUUGUCCAAAUAGAUGUAACAGAAAAAUGUGCGUGUUCCCCAGAGGACGUGGACGCAUGCUGCCAUCCCCCUUUGCAUCCUACAGAAACACCUCCCUGGAGACCUUCUGGACCUUCCCCAGCAGUCCCAUCACCUGAACCUGAGGGGUGCUUUGCAAGUGGGGAGGGGAAGGGAGAGCUCUGUGGGACUGAGACGAGAAAACCCCAAGAACACAAUGCUCCAGAGGUGAAUGUGGAAGCAGAAGCCAGGGAUGGGUACUGCCCGAGGGGGUGACCCAGGUAAAGGGAGGGUUCAUAAUUUCCAACGUGAGAAACAAUCUUGCUCACCAGACUUGAAUAUUUGUUUAUUUGUUUGUUUGCUUAUUCAUUUAUUUUGUUUAAACCCUGAUUUCUUUACACUUAAAGUGAAAGGCAGUGCUAUUAUCCAGAGAUGCUUUGCAGUCUUUUCUCUGUGGAUGCAGGAUAAUCAAGCUCUCUUUGAUUUCCAUUAUACUUUCCAGUGGAUCUGAGAUGUAAUUAAUUAAUUGAUUCUUGCUGCCAGUACCCUAAUUAACAGUAAAUAAAAAUUCAUGCCAGGGUUAAUAGCUUUAAAGG
ensembl:lncRNA